GACGAACGCUGGCGGCGUGCUUAACACAUGCAAGUCGAACGGAAAGACCCUGCUUUUGUGGGGUGCUCGAGUGGCGAACGGGUGAGUAACACGUGAGUAACCUGCCCUUGACUUUGGGAUAACUUCAGGAAACUGGGGCUAAUCCCGGAUAGGAGCUCCUGCUGCAUGGUGGGGGUUGGAAAGUUUCGGCGGUUGGGGAUGGACUCGCGGCUUAUCAGCUUGUUGGUGGGGUAGUGGCUUACCAAGGCUUUGACGGGUAGCCGGCCUGAGAGGGUGACCGGCCACAUUGGGACUGGGAUACGGCCAAGACUCCUACGGGAGGAAGAAGUGGGGAAUAUUGCACAAUGGGCGGAAGCCUGAUGCAGCAACGCCGCGUGCGGGAUGCCGGCCUUCGGGUUGUAACCCGCUUUCGCCUGUGACGAAGCGUGAGUGACGGUAAUGGGUAAAGAAGCACCGGCUAACUACGUG
rnacentral:rRNA from 1 species